rnacentral:rRNA from 1 species
UUAAAAAGCUCGUAGUUGGAUUUCUGGCAGAGUGUCCUCCGGCCAGCGGUUCGUUUGGUGCGGAGCGCUCUACCGUCCUUCUGUUAACCUUUACGGAAUUGACUUUCUGCAUCGGGGCUCAGAUAUUUUACCUUGAGAAAAUUAGAGUGUUUCAGGCAGGCUAGCGCCGGAAUACAUUAGCAUGGAAUAAUGGAAAAGGACUUCAACCUCUUCUAUUGGUCUGGGAGGCUGUAGUAAUGAUUAAUAGGGAUAGUUGGGGGCAUUAGUACUUAACUGUCAGAGGUGAAAUUCUCCGAUUUGUUAAAGACUAACUUAUGCGAAAGCAUUUGCCAAGGAUGUUUUCAUUAAUCAAG